rnacentral:rRNA from 1 species
AUGAUAAUUAUGGAUGGGCUCCCAUUUGCAUUUUCGGAGAAAUCAGGAUUUAGAGAGUUUUUCAAUGAAUCUUGUGAUAGGGUUGGCUUAACAACCGACACCUGGACAUCUAUGCAACAGCAGAGCUAUAUGUGUGUUGCGGCUCAUUUCCUUGACACCGAUUGGUGGCUACAUAAGAGGAUUAUUGGGUUCUUGGUGUGUGGUCAUAAGGGGGAAGACAUUGGGAAGGACAUCGAGACGUGUUUGGUGGAUUGGGGUUUAGAGAAAGCGUUCACAAUAACUGUUGACAAUGCAUCAGCAGACGAUGAUGCUGUAAGUUACAUGAGGAGGGCCAUGAAUGAUGCUAAAACUAGCACAGCAAAAGGACAAUAUGUUCACAUGAGAUGUGAAACCCAUGUCAAAAACAUGAUAGUUUUGGAUUGCCCAAGAGAAUUGGAUAUCCCAGUGCAACGAGGCCUUGUUGCUGUCCGUUUUAUCAGAAAUUUUCUAUCUAGAACUACUCAAUUUAAGAAGUGUGCUGACUUGGAGAAGGUGGACAGCAAAGCAUCCUUAUCACUUGUUGUAUGCAUCAGAUGGAACUCCACAUACCUAAUGUUGAAAGCUGCAGCCACAUAUCAAAAGGUGUUUGAUAGGUAUGGUGAUGACGACCCUUAG